GGCCGGGUGGAGAGGCGUAAUACAAUACCCGAAAGGGGAAUAUGCCCGGAGUGUCUUAGAAGACUCCAGUUGACACCUGGUCACCAAUUA
rnacentral:ncRNA from 1 species